GAUUAACGCUGGCGGCGUGCAUAACACAUGCAAGUCGAACGAUGAAACUUAACUGAUUUCUUCGGAAUGAUUUUAAGUGGAUUAGUGGCGGACGGGUGAGUAACGCGUGAGUAACCUGCCUUGGAGAAGGGGAUAGCCUUUGGAAACGAAGAAUAAUACCCUAUGAUAUGAUAAUAUCUCAUGAUAUUAUCAUCAAAGAUUUAUCGCUCUAAGAUGGACUUGCGUCUGAUUAGUUAGUUGGUGAGGUAACAGCUCACCAAGGCAGCGAUCAGUAGCCGGCUUUGGAGGGGGUACGGCCAAAUUGGGACUGGGACACGGCCCAGACUCCCACGGGAGGCAGGAGGGGGGAAAUUUGGACAAUGGGGGAAACCCCGAAGCAGCGACGGCGGGUUAUUUAGAAGGCCUUCGGGUUGUAAAAAUCUUUUUGAUGGGAAGAAAAUGACAGUACCAUACGAAUAAGGACCGGCUAAUUACGUG
rnacentral:rRNA from 1 species